CUAAACAACAGAGCCAUCCAGGCGCCCCAAUAAAUAUGUACCUUUAAGGUCUCAUCUGGCUCUGACGGCUUCUAAGUCACUUACCCAAGAUCACAGAGCCAGGAUUUGGUCCCAGGCAGUUGUGUUCCUAAUGGCAGUGUGCUUUGCCACGGCCCUACAUGGAUGUUUAUACAGGACUCACCGAUCAGAUUUGGUAAGGGGUUAGCUGACUAGGAGAAUGUAGGUGCCAUUGAUAGGAUGGUGGAGUCAAAGAAGGAAGCUAGCCUCAUGGGGAACAAUUAUGUUUCAGACAUGCUGAGUGUCAGGGGUUAACGGAACAUCUAGCUAACUGUUGGAAGGAUGGUAGAGCAGCUCUAGAGAGAGACAGGGAGGAGAUUUCAAUUUGGCAAUCGAAGACUUAAAGGCGAUACUGAAAGUUAUGGAAACAGACAAGUUUAUAGAAAGAGGAAGUGAGUAUAGGAGAGUGAAGAGCAAAGAACUGUCGGAAGUGAGAAGAGGGGGAGAAAAAGCCAAGAAAGAAACAAUUGAGUGUGCACCUCGAAUUAGCUACUUCCAUUUGCUGGCUCUUUCAUCUCUUCAUUUGUAAAACGAAGGGGUUGGAGCCAGUAAGCUACAAGGCUUUCAGGUGAGAUGUUCUAUGCAUAAUCAGAAAAGGUAGAAGAGAACAGAAUGCAAUGGAAACUGAAGAAGAGAGUUUCCAAAAGAAGGGGUCACUUGCAUCCAAUGCUGCAGAUGAAUCAGGGAAUGAGGACUUAGGCGAAGCCACUGCAAUUGGCAAUUUGAAGAUCCUCUCCACGAAUGUGAUCUCUCCUGGUGAAUGUUCCAUAUGAGUUUGAGAAGAAUGUGUAUUCUGCUGUUGUUGGGCAAAAUAGUCUAUGGAUGUCAAUUGUAUCCAGUUGAUUGAUGGUGCUGGACUGUGGUCUCCAGCAAAGGUGCCAUAGGUGCCCAGUACAGACGCCCCAAGACCCCACAGAAAUGCCUGAAAACUCCCCAUCUAAUUGUGCCUUCUUGGACCGCUGCCUCAGCGAGGUCGGCCAUUGGAGCCGGGACAGCUUGACCUUUGCUAGGAACUCAGAGCUGCCGGAGGUCUAGAACUGAAGGGAAACCGAGGCAGAAGCCCCGCUGGCGUCUCUCCCUCACCACUUCCCCUUCCAUCAGGGAAGUGAAGGGAAAAGCUUUAAAGGACAGCGAUGGGUUAAGCUCCUUAUAAGGAAGCGAGCCUCCUCUUUCCUGUACAGCAAUCGUUUUGCGCUCCUCUAUGUUUUAAAGUACGCGGCAAAGACGACGCCGGACAGGCUUCACCCAAACCAUUCCCCCGGGCGUGGGGGCCAACUAGGAGCCAAGGGAGAGAGGACGGAGCGGGGCGGGGAGGAGGCAACCGAGCGAAGCAUCGGAGGGAUGAGUCAUCAAAAAGAAGCGAGGCAAGAGAGCGGAACUAGUCACCGAAGCCGGGAAGGAGCCGAGCAUUCAUUAGACGGGCGUGAUGUCAAUCACAUCCGCUCCGCAAAUGCCCUGAGAGCCUUCGGGGCCUCCCAGACCGGAAGAAGGGUCUCGGUGGGCGGGUCUAACGGCCUUGAAAUCGGAAAAGACCGAGCGGAGCCGCCUUCAGAGGAGUGCGUUUCGGCACCGGCAGGCUUCUUGGAAAGAUGGCGUUUGCCAUCAAGGUCACAUGGCCACCUUACGGGACUAACGGAAAUACUAACUGGGAAUAAUAGGAACGGCCCUCUGUGGGAUCCGGAUUUUCAGAAGCAGUCUCAAAUCAAAAUCCACCCCCCUCUCCAGUAGACUCAUUUGUCAGAACACAUGUCCUAAACUACAACAUCAAAACAAUAUGUGGAGGGGUGGAGUUUCACCAGGGCUCUCCUCUCUCUAGGAGCAGGAGAUCUUGAGGGAACCCAGGGGCCAGGGUGACAGCAGAGUCCCAAGGCAGCACCGAUGCUCCCCACUGGGUCUGCCAUCUCACCAGAUCUAUGUUAGGCUAAAGACUGAGCAGCUUGGUCUAACCUCUGACUUCUCACCUGUUUUGAAAGGUUGCCUUGUACAUUGAACCAGAGAAGUUCACCUACAUUUAGGCUUUACUUGAUUGGAUAAGAAAUGUGAGUUUACCCAUAAAUUCAUCUGCUUGUAUGUUCUUUUGUUCAUAUUCUUGCUGACUCUCCUAGCAGCUGUUACUUUUUAAAAAUUUCAAGCCUAGGGGAUCUGUGGGUGGCUCAGCGGUUUAGAGCCGCCUUCAGCCCUAGGAUGUGAUCCUGGAGACGGGAUCAAG